GGAGAGGUGUCUGAGCGGUUUAAAGAGCACGACUGGAAAUCGUGUGGUUGUCGAAAGAUGGCUCGAGAGUUCGAAUCUCUCCCUCUCCGCCA
rnacentral:tRNA from 1 species